AAAGAGAUAAGAGAGAGACCUUGGGGAACAAUUUUAAAGUGGCUCAAUAGCGAUCGCAGAGCCAAACUCAUACCUACAUCAAUGUGGUGCAGAGAAUCUCUAAGAAUUUUUAAUGCUGAAUUGGAGCAAAGAAACUUCAAGGAGGAAGCAAAGUGAAGAACACAGAUUUCACAGAUGGGAUGCCUGGCUCAAAUUCCAGCUUGACCGCUGGUAGCUGUGUGACCCUCGGCAAGUUACUUGACCUCUCUCUACUCAGUGUCCUCAUCUGUCAGAUUUUGGUAUCUGACUGAUGCUGUCUUCGUGGAAUGAGUUAGGAAAGAGUCCCUCCUCGUCAACUGUUGGGAAUACAUUCAGCAGGGUUGGUAUCAUUGCAUGUCUGGCAGAAUUUGACUAGGAAUCCAUCUGGUCCAGGAUUUUUUUUGUUGGUGUAAUGAGAUUCACUGAAGAAUUCUCAGAGUGGAAUGAGCAACAGAUUUUCAUUAGCGAAAGCUCCUCUAGCUGCUGCAUGAAAUGAUGUCUAGACAGAGCCAUUUUUAGAUCUUCCAUUGGAUUGGGAACGUGAAAAUGGCACAGAAAGAGAAAGAACAUGCCAAGAAGUGGGGGCACUCAGGCACUUGCAUCAGCUGCCUUGCAACAGUGAAUGAUAAAGAAAAUACUAUCAUAAAAGGGAUACAAUACAUGGUCCGUGACUGCAAAACCAUAUUAAAGUUCCUGUUCAUUGACGUCAUGGUUCACAUAUGGUGCAUAUGUAUAAUUGGAAAUCUCAGAAUUGCAUUUUCAUGAAAGAAGAUGAAGAUACCAAAUGCCUUACUAAGAGUAUUUAUUUGUUUGUCAGUUAUUUGCAUGGAAAUGUGGUAAAGAGAGAGCAAUGCCUGGGACUGGGUGUUAGCAUUAGUAAGUCAGAGAAAAACCUUCUUUGUAAGAAGUUAUAUACGAAGUUGUCAACUUUAAUUUAGCAUAAAUUAAUAACUGAAGACUGAAACAAAACACAGAUGGCAUAGAGUCAAUCUGGAGUCUUCUAGAAUCCUUUAUUAAAAGAAAAAACCCAUGAGAGAAAAGUAAAGAUUGGAGGUCUCAAAUCACAGUAAUUGUAUUACUCAAAUCACAAAUUCCUCCUUAACUCGACACUUAACUCGAUGGAAUUUUCAUGAUGUCAAAGCAUGUAGAUAGUUGGAUAAUUAGAAAUGAGAAUAAAGAACAGCUUAAUGAAUAACAGAA
rnacentral:lncRNA from 1 species